AUUGAACGCUGGCGGCAGGCCUAACACAUGCAAGUCGAACGAGUGGCGGACGGGUGAGUAAUGUCUGGGAAACUGCCUGAUGGAGGGGGAUAACUACUGGAAACGGUAGCUAAUACCGCAUACCAUCGGAUGUGCCCAGAUGGGAUUAGCUUGUUGGUGGGGUAACGGCUCACCAAGGCGACGAUCCCUAGCUGGUCUGAGAGGAUGACCAGCCACACUGGAACUGAGACACGGUCCAGACUCCUACGGGAGGCAGCAGUGGGGAAUAUUGCACAAUGGGCGAAAGCCGGAUGCAGCCAUGCCGCGUGUAUGAAGAAGGCCUUCGGGUUGUAAAGUACUUUCAGCGGGGAGGCGUUACCCGAAGAAGAAGCACCGGCUAACUCCGUGCCAGCAGCCGCGGUAAUUC
rnacentral:rRNA from 1 species